UACGUAGGGUGCGAGCGUUAAUCGGAAUUACUGGGCGUAAAGCGUGCGCAGGCGGUUUUGUAAGUCAGAUGUGAAAUCCCCAGGCUCAACUUGGGAACUGCAUCCGAUACUGGAUGGCUUGAAUCCGGGAGAGGGAUGCAGAAUUCCAGGUGUAGCGGUGAAAUGCGUAGAUAUCUGGAGGAAUACCGGUGGCGAAGGCGGCAUCCUGGACCGGAAUUGACACUGAGGAGCGAAAGCCAGGGGAGCAAACGGG
rnacentral:rRNA from 1 species